AUGGCUUUCCUCACUGUAGGUUCUGCCAUGGCUUUUCUUGUCCCGUCUCACUCGCCUCCCCCUCCUCGUCACCCUCCUCUCUCUCUCUCCCCCGCGGCUACGAUUCAGGCUAGGGUUCAGGCGCCUUCCCUUCUCUCCUCCUCUACCCAACGCCGCCUCCCCUCCUUUCUCUCCUUCUCCACUAACGAGGCCGGGGCGGCGGCGCGGACAAGAAACUGUGGGCUCUCCUCCGCAAAUCUCUACCGGGACGACGGUAGCCCGAGGAGGAUCCCCGGUCAACGGCGCCCCGGGCGCUCACUGCCAAGAAGCCGCCGGAGGAGGAACUCGACCUGGACGACCGCCGCUGGACGAAGAGCCCCGAAAAAAUCCCCCAACCACCCCUGCGCCACCGCCUCUUCACCUUCGACCACGGGUUGCAACGGUCAGAGGACCAAGUUGGAGCAUACUAGGCAAAUGGGCCUUACCGUGAGUCGUGGUGCAACAGUGACCUCGAUGGGCAGGGCAAUGGUCAGAUACGAGUCAGCACCAAAGAUGACUAUAAGCACUCAAAAAAGUUUACCACGCUAG
rnacentral:rRNA from 1 species